GGCGUUGCCAGGUGAGGUAGCUUGCAGUCUAUUAUCCAGUGCUAAAAUCUCUUCAGUCCCUAACUGGCAGAUCUACCACCUGACUUCUGGAGAAAAGGAGCCAUGCCCAUGCCUUGAAACACACUUGGUUCUACGGUCACUAGGAAAUUGAUAUCUUGGGAGGUGCUCUACGGGAAUGGUCAGGUUGGAGAGGGAGACUGACUGCCAAGAAGACGUUAAGAAUGACCGAGUGUGAGAAGCUGCGUAACGUCAGCCUUGGCACAGACAGCUACGCCAUCCGAGGCCAAAGUGUACCUCUAAGGGAGCCCCAGUGGUUGGACCAAGCUACCAGGUGGCCUCAGAGGACAGCGAGGGGGCUGAAGCCUGAGGAAUACCUCUUUCUUCCUGGCUGCCCAGAGCCCUGCCCUCAUGCUCACACCACAUUCCUGCAAGGAGACAUUGCCUUGGUCUGCUAACCUGGACCCUCUCAGAGUUGGAAGGGCCUUUUAGAGUAAGUGACUUGCUGGACUCAGACCAGGGUGGCAGAAGUAGAAUCUGCCUUGGGCACCCCUGGAGUCGUUCCCCCUCUUUGGGCCUCCUUUUGCCCAUCUGCACAAAAAGCAUGUUGGGCAACCCAGAGCUUUGUGACGGCUACUUCCUCCACUGUGGCAAGCCAAGACCUCCAGCUCUGGGUGGCUGGCUUCAGAAUCAGCAUAGCGACGCUGUGAUCUCAUGCUGAUUAAGAGCAAGAGAUAACAGCAUAGGUGGGGCUAUGUGGGCCUGGAGUCAGCCGCAUCAGGGUUUGAAUCCAUUUCUGUCACUAGCUAGCCAUGUGACUUUAGGCAGGUCACAACUUCUCUGAGUCUCAUUUAUAUGAUCUGUAAUAAUACCUCAUAGUGUUAUCCUCAGGAUCCAGUGAGACAAUAUGUGUGCAAAACAAGCGUUACAGUUUGCUCUCAACAAAUGUUCAUUUUGUUCCUUUAUCCUUUCCCUCUGAUUGGCAGGAUAUAUGUCUUCGAUUAAUAGAAAAUGGCAAAACAAGUUCCUUACCAUGUUCCAAGAUUAAAAAUGUAGAACAUGGGAACCUUAAGGAAAAAAAUUAUGUAAAAGGAUACUUGGAGAUAUAAAGGUGGCCUUGUCAAUAUAUUCAUUAAAUUUACUCUUGGCCCACCCAGCAAUAUAUAUGAAUGAGGUAUGGAAGAUCUUGUCCUUUGAAGGAGUCACAUCUAGUUGUGGAGAUAAACACAGCAGACUGUUACAAAAUUAUUUUGGCCCAGGCACGGUGGCUCACACCUAUAAUCCCAACACUUUGGGAGGCCAAGGCAGGAGCAUCUCUUGAACUCAGGAGUUCGAGACCAGGGCAACAUAGGGAGAUUCUAGGGAGGAUCUCAAAAAUAAAAGAACAAAAAUCUCCUUAUGUUGUCCUGGGCUUGAACUCCUGGGCAAUAUAGGGAGAUUUUUAUUAUUUAUUUAAUUGUUUUUUUCACAGAGUCUCACUCUGUCACCCAGGCUGGAGUACAGUGGCAUGAUCAUGGCUCAAUGCAACCUCCACCUCCUGGGCUCAAGCAAUUCUGCCACCUCAGCCUCCUGAGUAGCUAGGAUGACAGGGGCCUGGGCAACAUAGGGAGAUCCUGUCUCUAUGAAAAAUAAAAAAUAAAAAAUGAGCUGGGUGUGGUGGUGCACCCCUGUAGUCCUAGCCACUCAGGAGGCUGAGGUGGGAGGAUUGCUCAGGAGGUGGAGGUUACGGUGAGACAUGAUUGCGCCACUGCACUCCAGCCUGGGCGACAGAGAGCGAGACUGUGAAAAAACAAACUAACUAACAAAAUGAUUUGGCAAAGGCCUAAUCGAGGUCUGCCUGCAUGUACAAAACUGAGAACACCAGAUUCCAUUUGGGCGUGGUGGUCUGGCAAGGCUUAACAGAGGAGGCGAUAAUGGAGCUGAGCGCAGAAGGUUGAGAAGGAGUUCCCGUGAUGGGUAAGGGCAUGCCCGGCAAAGGGAACACCACAGACAUGGAGGCAUGAUGGAGGGUGUGGGGAGCAGAAUCAGUGAGCAGCUUGGGCUGCUGUAUGGGAAAUUGGUGGCCCCUGAGGCCAAGAAGAUAGAAGGAGGCCUUGCAUUCUCAUCCUGAAGACUGUGGGGAGCCACCGAAAGGAUUCUUAACAGAAGAGUCAAAUGACCACAUCUGUGCUUUAUAAAGAUGACACUGCCACUUGCUAUCUUCAGACCUUCAUCCCAUCUCUUCUGGACUGUUGCAGCAAUGCCUAAGUGUUCCCCUCUGAUCCAAUCUCCAAAAACAGACCAAUUUUUAAAAUAAAAUCAGAUCAUUUUA